UAUGAGUUGCGAACGGGUGAGUAACGCGUGGGUAACCUGCCCUGUACAGGGGGAUAACAGUCAGAAAUGACUGCUAAUACCGUAUAAGACCACAGCACCGCAUGGUGCAGGGGUAAAAACUCCGGUGGUAUAAGAUGGACCCGCGUCUGAUUAGCUGGUUGGUGAGGUAACGGCCCACCAAGGCGACGAUCAGUAGCCGACCUGAGAGGGUGACCGGCCACAUUGGGACUGAGACACGGCCCAAACUCCUACGGGAGGCAGCAUG
rnacentral:rRNA from 1 species